UACGUAGGGAGCAAGCGUUGUCCGGAAUCAUUGGGCGUAAAGCGCGCGUAGGUGGCUUCGUAAGUCCGUUGUGAAAGUCAAAGGCUCAACCUUUGAAAGCCGAUGGAUACUGCGGAGCUAGAGUACGGAAGAGGCGAGUGGAAUUCCUGGUGUAGCGGUGGAAUGCGCAGAUAUCAGGAGGAAUACCAGUGGCGAAAGCGGCACCCUGGCAUUAGCCUGACGCUCAUGUGCGAAGGCGUAGGGAGCGAACGGG
rnacentral:rRNA from 1 species